rnacentral:RNase_P_RNA from 1 species
GGAGCGGACUGCCGCGCGCCAUGUUGCCGAAAGGUAUUGGUGUGAGGAAAGUCCGGGCUUCACAGGGCAAGGAUAACGGAUAACGACCGCCGGAGGCGACUCCAGGGAAAGUGCAACAGAAAUAGACCGCCGUCCUCACGGACGGUAAGGAUGGAAAGGCGAGGUAAGAGCUCACCGGCACGACAGGCGACUGUGUGCAAAUGUAAACCCUAUCCGAAGCAACACCGUAUGCGGACGGGAAUAUUCCCGUGUCGGCCCGGCACAGUUCCGCAGGUGGCGAAAAGCGGCGCGGCAACGCGGCGCUAAGAUAGAUGGCAGUACAAGACAGAACCCGGCUUACAGCUCC